rnacentral:rRNA from 1 species
CCCGCUGAACUUAAGCAUAUCACUAAGCGGAGGAAAAGAAAUUAACUAAGAUUGCCUCAGUAACGGCGAGUGAAGUGGCAAAAGCCCAAACUGGAAAUCUCCAUGCUUCGCAUGGCGAAUUGUAAUCUAAAGGUGGGAAGCUUACCUAGUUGUGACGCAUAAGUGCUCAAGAAAGGGCCGCCAGAGAGGGUGAAAGCCCCGUAUUUGGCGUCACGACUUACCGAGCUCCUUUCAAAGAGUCGGGUUGUUUUGAACUACAGCCCUAAGCUGGGAGAUAGACUUCUUCUAAGGCUAAAUAUAUAUGGGAAACCGAUAGCGAACAAGUACUGUGAAGGAAAGAUGAAAAGAACUUUGAAAAGAGAGUGACAAGACUUGAAAUCGUUGAGAAGGAAGCGGUAGAAAUUUAUUCUUCUGGUGAGAACGAAGGUGUUUGUCUAACCAUUGGGGCUCGUGAGCACUUCAUAGGCUCUGGGUUUCACUUGGGGAAGCGAUAGCUGGGUUCUCACCGUGAGGCAAAAUGAGGUUUCAUUCUCUCAAAAGCUGCUUUGACCUGGUUGGCUUCGGCUGGCAGUCCUGGUGUGCUCGAGAGAGUGGAGCCUGAGGAGCCUUGUGCGAUUUUGCCAAAAUGGUUUUUACCGACCCGUCUUGAAACACGG